AUUGAACGCUGGCGGCAGGCCUAACACAUGCAAGUCGAACGAGUGGCGGACGGGUGAGUAAUGUCUGGGACACUGCCCGAUGGAGGGGGAUAACUACUGGAAACGGUAGCUAAUACCGCAUACCAUCGGAUGUGCCCCGAUGGGGUUAGCUAGUAGGUGGGGUAACGGCUCACCUAGGCGACGAUCCAUAGCUGGUCUGAGAGGAUGACCAGCAAGACGGGGACUGAGACACGUUCCAGACUCCUACGGAAGGCAGCAGUGGGGAACAUUGCACAAUGGGCGAAAGCCUGAUGAAGAGAGGCCGCGUGUAUGAAGAAGGCUUUGGGGUUGUAAAGUAAGUUCAGCGAGGAGGCGUUACUCGAAGAAGAAGCACCGGCUAACUACGUGCCAGCAGCCGCGGUAAUAC
rnacentral:rRNA from 1 species